GGACACCUUGACUGCUGAGCAGGUACAUUGGUUGCCUUAUGUGGAAGAUCGUGACUUUGAUCUUAAUGAGAUGUGCACGCGUGAUAGCCAUCUUUGGCGGGCGAGGUGCCCAAUGAUAUGCUUCUUCGCAGUCGAGUGGCACUUUGUAGACCAUGUGGCAAGACAAUUUGGAAAAAGACAAGGUAUUCCAAUUGAGGAGAGCAAGGAGGAAAUGCUAUCUCUGCAUCGGUUCGAUCGAAGGAACAAUCAGGAUAUAUCGGAUUGGGCAAACAAACACCGUGCGUGGAUAGAAAUUUGGAAUCAAAGAGACACGUUAGUGCAAUCAGAGAAUAGACCUCACAAUCAGUCAGCAUAUCAGAAGUAUCAAGUGUGGUAUGCGGAUCGUUACCGGUUAAAGCUGAAGCCAGGUUGGACUCACGAGGAGUGGU